AUUCUCUCCUUUAGCGAAUUUCUCUUGAUCCUUUCUCUCUUAGGCUCGGUGAACUGCCCCUCCACUAUGUUAUGAAAAUGUUCUCUAUCUCUACCAUCACUGCACAGGUCAUAUAUUAUUAUAAUUUUUAUUUUGUUUUUAAAAAGGUAAUACAGAUGCAACAAACAGGCUUUCACAUCGUCCCAGAAUGAUGACUGAAUACUGCAUUCUUGGUUCAGAGCAAAGCCAACAGGUGGUUCAGCUAUCUUUCUUCAUGCUUAAGAUAGAAACAAAUUCAGAAACCAGCUCUACUCCAACCAUCCUCCCUCCACACAGUCAACACAAGAAGACAGACUAUCCCCCCACCCACAUUUCUGUGGAGGACAUGCUGUCUUUUCCCAAGGCCAAGUGGAGGUCCCAAAAGAAUUUCUGUUUAAAAAAAACACAAAGUGGGGAAACCUAUAAAAAGGGUGACUGUCAUUUUUAUUCCAUUUUGAAUGUCUGCUUUACCAGAGAAUUGACGACAAUCAGAUGGGAGGAGUGAGCAUUUUACCAGUAAACCAUGUUGGAGUCACCAUCUGUCUACAACAGCUACCUGGAGUGCAUAUACAAUGAGGGAGAAUGGCAGUUACCACCAACUUCAGGCAGAACUGUGGCUGGCCCAGUCAGGAAGAUAUGUUUUGUUCUUUUCCUGCUACCUCAGCCUCACCCUGACAGGGAAGAGAGCAGCAGUGGGUAGAGGAAGGGGAGAGGAGAGAAGUGAAAGUCAGACCAUGCAACACACCCUUCCAUUACAGCAUGGCUUGAUGAGUGUUAUGUAGGUCUGCGCCCAGGAUCUGAACCUGUGAACCCUGGGCCACCAAAGUGGAGUGCACAAACUUAACCACUACCCCACCAGAAUGUUUAUUUAGCCCCCUGGGACACCUGAUGUUUCUGGAUAAAGCCUGCUCGUCGGAAGAACUUCUGCUGACUGAUUGUGUGAAUAGUUCUCCCCCUGUCAGGGUGCUUGAAGUGGCUACCACUAGUCUAGCUUUGGGAAAGCCCUAGGAAUUGCCUGAUGAAGUCGCCUAGCGAUUGCCGGAGCCUGAUCAUGCAACAGGCAAUACUACUGGGAUUUCAGGUUAAAAUUCUGAGAAUGGUUUUACAUAUGCUAUUCAGACACAUGAUUGAUUACACCUCAAGUGUGUACAGCAUCUUCCAACCAACUAUGAGAACCAUGUUCCUUGAAAUUGCAUGGCAGAAGAACUGGUGGUUGAAGAAGGGAAGAUGUCACGAAAAAAAUAGAAGUAGGGAGCCAGUUUCCAAGUAAGCC
rnacentral:lncRNA from 1 species